UUCAGCCACAGGACUAGGCCUCUCUGCUGA
rnacentral:piRNA from 1 species